UACGUAGGGUGCAAGCGUUGUCCGGAAUUAUUGGGCGUAAAGAGCUCGUAGGCGGUUCGUCGCGUCGGCUGUGAGAACCCGGAGCUCAACUCCGGGCCUGCAGUCGAUACGGGCGGACUUGAGUGUUGCAGGGGAGACUGGAAUUCCUGGUGUAGCGGUGAAAUGCGCAGAUAUCAGGAGGAACACCGGUGGCGAAGGCGGGUCUCUGGGCAACUACUGACGCUGAGGAGCGAAAGCGUGGGGAGCGAACAGG
rnacentral:rRNA from 1 species